GAGUAGCUCAGUUGGUAGAGCAUGAGACUCUUAAACUGAGGGUCGUGGGUUUGAGCCCCACAUUGGGCCA